rnacentral:rRNA from 1 species
ACGGGGUGCAGCAGGCGCGAAACCUUCACAAUGCUCGAAAGAGUGAUGAGGGUACUCCGAGUGUCUAUGCUUUGCAUAGUCUUUUCUUCAGCGUAAACAGUUGGAGGAAUAAGGGCUGGGCAAGACCGGUGCCAGCCGCCGCGGUAACACCGGCAGCCCAAGUGGUGACCGUUUUUAUUGGGCCUAAAGCGUUCGUAGCCGGAUAGGCAAGUCUUUGGGUAAAUCCUACGUCUUAAGCGUGGGAAUUCUAAGGAUACUACCUGUCAUGAGGCCGGGAGAGGCUAGAGGUACUUCAGGGGUAGGAGUGAAAUCUUGUAAUCCCUGUGGGACCACCAGUGGCGAAGGCGUCUUACCAGAACGGGUCCGACGGUGAGGGACGAAAGCUGGGGGCACGAACCGGAUUAGAUACCCGGGUAGUCCCAGCCGUAAACGAUGUUCGCUAGGUGUCAGGGACGGUGCGACCGUUUCUGGUGCCGUAGGGAAGCCGUGAAGCGAACCACCUGGGAAGUACGGCCCAAGGCUGAAAUUUUUAGGAAUUGGCGGGGGAGCAC